rnacentral:rRNA from 1 species
AUGUCUACCUGCCUCACUGACAUGAUCAGUGCCCAUGAGGUGGAUUUCCUUGGGUUACAAGAAACUAUGAAAAGUAACUAUACUCCUUCCUUUUUUAGAAAAUUAGAUCCACUCCAGAAGUUUUAUUGGGAGUGGAAUCCUUCUAGGGGGGAAUCUAGAGGCAUCCUUUGUGGCAUUAAUAAAAAUAAGUUUGAUAUACUUGAGGUGAAGCAUGGGAAAUUUAUUUUGCAAAUUGACCUUUUCGAUAAGAGUAAGAACUAUAAGUGGGCCUUGCUGGUGGUUUAUGGGGCUGCACAGGAUGAAAACAAACCUGAGUUCAUAGCAGAGAUGUCUUCUAUGUGCCAUAGAACUGCUAUCCCCUACAUAGGGGGAGAUUUUAAUAUUCUUCGUCAUAGUGGGGAAAAAACAAGAAAACCCCCUUCUCAUUUCUCUGAUGUGUUCAAUUCGGUUAUACACCUGCUGGGACUGAGAGAAAUCAAUAUGUCAGGAGGCUGCUAUACAUGGUCGAAUAAAUAGGAGAACCCUACCCUAGAAAAAUUGGAUAGGGUUUUAAUGUCUUCGGACUGGGAGGACCUUUAUCCCCUGGUCUCUGUUCGUAAGUUGGUCAAGGAGAUUUCUGAUCAUAAUCCAUUGCUGUUAGAUGGGGGUGUGGCAUCAUCUAGAGCCCCUGGGAGUAGAUGCUUUAAGUUUGAUAAUGCAUGGCUAAACAAUCCAGACUUUCUUCCCCUGGUGGCAAAAAUCUGGUCCCAACCU